UACGACGUGACUUCCUGCGGCGGAUCUGGAAGGAGGAGCGCCUUGAAGGAGCUUAGCCCCCCCUCUGCAACCCACCACCGUCUCCCCCUUUGGUUUCUCCUAGCCCCAUCUGCUGAAAUUGAUGUAAAUGUGGUCAUGCUUCAGGAAUCCCAAGUUUGUGAAAAGCGUGCCAGCCAACAAUUCUGUUACACGAAUGUGCUUAUCCCAAAAUGGCAUGAUAUAUGGACACGGAUACAGAUCCGAGUAAAUAGUUCCAAAUUGGUUCGAGUCACCCAGGUGGAGAAUGAGCAGAAACUGAAGGAGCUAGAGCAGUUUAGUAUCUGGAACUUUUUUUCCUCCUUUUUGAAAGAGAAAUUGAAUGACACCUAUGUUAACGUGGGUCUAUACAGCACAAAAACCUGCCUCAAAGUUGAGAUUAUAGAGAAGGACACCAAGUACAGUGUCAUUGUGAUCCGGA
rnacentral:sRNA from 1 species